UGAUGGAUUGACACUGGACUAG
rnacentral:misc_RNA from 1 species